AUUGGCAUCGCCAUUGCCCUGUCAGGGGUCCCUGUCUACUUCCUGGGGGUCUAUCUACCAGAAUCCAAACGGCCGCCGAUGAUCACCAAGCUACUGCGUUCUCUGACUCUCUCCACCCAGUACACCUGCUACUGUGUACAGACUACAGAGAUGGACAAAAGUGAAUAGCAUCCGAAACACUUUAAAACUCGAGCCAGCAGUCUCUACAAUCCUCACAGCUGACAGCAACCGGGGGCAGCCAGGCGGGGGAUUCUUCUUUGG